GGUUAAGCGACUAAGCGUACACGGUGGAUGCCCUGGCAGUCAGAGGCGAUGAAGGACGUGCUAAUCUGCGAUAAGCGUCGGUAAGGUGAUAUGAACCGUUAUAACCGGCGAUUUCCGAAUGGGGAAACCCAGUGUGUUUCGACACACUAUCAUUAACUGAAUCCAUAGGUUAAUGAGGCGAACCGGGGGAACUGAAACAUCUAAGUACCCCGAGGAAAAGAAAUCAACCGAGAUUCCCCCAGUAGCGGCGAGCGAACGGGGAGCAGCCCAGAGCCUGAAUCAGUGUGUGUGUUAGUGGAAGCGUCUGGAAAGGCGCGCGAUACAGGGUGACAGCCCCGUACACAAAAAUGCACAUAUUGUGAGCUCGAUGAGUAGGGCGGGACACGUGGUAUCCUGUCUGAAUAUGGGGGGACCAUCCUCCAAGGCUAAAUACUCCUGACUGACCGAUAGUGAACCAGUACCGUGAGGGAAAGGCGAAAAGAACCCCGGCGAGGGGAGUGAAAAAGAACCUGAAACCGUGUACGUACAAGCAGUGGGAGCCUCUUUUAUGGGGUGACUGCGUACCUUUUGUAUAAUGGGUCAGCGACUUAUAUUCUGUAGCAAGGUUAACCGAAUAGGGGAGCCGAAGGGAAACCGAGUCUUAACUGGGCGUUAAGUUGCAGGGUAUAGACCCGAAACCCGGUGAUCUAGCCAUGGGCAGGUUGAAGGUUGGGUAACACUAACUGGAGGACCGAACCGACUAAUGUUGAAAAAUUAGCGGAUGACUUGUGGCUGGGGGUGAAAGGCCAAUCAAACCGGGAGAUAGCUGGUUCUCCCCGAAAGCUAUUUAGGUAGCGCCUCGUGAAUUCAUCUCCGGGGGUAGAGCACUGUUUCGGCAAGGGGGUCAUCCCGACUUACCAACCCGAUGCAAACUGCGAAUACCGGAGAAUGUUAUCACGGGAGACACACGGCGGGUGCUAACGUCCGUCGUGAAGAGGGAAACAACCCAGACCGCCAGCUAAGGUCCCAAAGUCAUGGUUAAGUGGGAAACGAUGUGGGAAGGCCCAGACAGCCAGGAUGUUGGCUUAGAAGCAGCCAUCAUUUAAAGAAAGCGUAAUAGCUCACUGGUCGAGUCGGCCUGCGCGGAAGAUGUAACGGGGCUAAACCAUGCACCGAAGCUGCGGCAGCGACACUAUGUGUUGUUGGGUAGGGGAGCGUUCUGUAAGCCUGUGAAGGUGUGCUGUGAGGCAUGCUGGAGGUAUCAGAAGUGCGAAUGCUGACAUAAGUAACGAUAAAGCGGGUGAAAAGCCCGCUCGCCGGAAGACCAAGGGUUCCUGUCCAACGUUAAUCGGGGCAGGGUGAGUCGACCCCUAAGGCGAGGCCGAAAGGCGUAGUCGAUGGGAAACAGGUUAAUAUUCCUGUACUUGGUGUUACUGCGAAGGGGGGACGGAGAAGGCUAUGUUGGCCGGGCGACGGUUGUCCCGGUUUAAGCGUGUAGGCUGGUUUUCCAGGCAAAUCCGGAAAAUCAAGGCUGAGGCGUGAUGACGAGGCACUACGGUGCUGAAGCAACAAAUGCCCUGCUUCCAGGAAAAGCCUCUAAGCAUCAGGUAACAUCAAAUCGUACCCCAAACCGACACAGGUGGUCAGGUAGAGAAUACCAAGGCGCUUGAGAGAACUCGGGUGAAGGAACUAGGCAAAAUGGUGCCGUAACUUCGGGAGAAGGCACGCUGAUAUGUAGGUGAAGCGACUUGCUCGUGGAGCUGAAAUCAGUCGAAGAUACCAGCUGGCUGCAACUGUUUAUUAAAAACACAGCACUGUGCAAACACGAAAGUGGACGUAUACGGUGUGACGCCUGCCCGGUGCCGGAAGGUUAAUUGAUGGGGUCAGCGCAAGCGAAGCUCUUGAUCGAAGCCCCGGUAAACGGCGGCCGUAACUAUAACGGUCCUAAGGUAGCGAAAUUCCUUGUCGGGUAAGUUCCGACCUGCACGAAUGGCGUAAUGAUGGCCAGGCUGUCUCCACCCGAGACUCAGUGAAAUUGAACUCGCUGUGAAGAUGCAGUGUACCCGCGGCAAGACGGAAAGACCCCGUGAACCUUUACUAUAGCUUGACACUGAACAUUGAGCCUUGAUGUGUAGGAUAGGUGGGAGGCUUAGAAGUGUGGACGCCAGUCUGCAUGGAGCCGACCUUGAAAUACCACCCUUUAAUGUUUGAUGUUCUAACGUUGACCCGUGAUCCGGGUUGCGGACAGUGUCUGGUGGGUAGUUUGACUGGGGCGGUCUCCUCCUAAAGAGUAACGGAGGAGCACGAAGGUUGGCUAAUCCUGGUCGGACAUCAGGAGGUUAGUGCAAUGGCAUAAGCCAGCUUGACUGCGAGCGUGACGGCGCGAGCAGGUGCGAAAGCAGGUCAUAGUGAUCCGGUGGUUCUGAAUGGAAGGGCCAUCGCUCAACGGAUAAAAGGUACUCCGGGGAUAACAGGCUGAUACCGCCCAAGAGUUCAUAUCGACGGCGGUGUUUGGCACCUCGAUGUCGGCUCAUCACAUCCUGGGGCUGAAGUAGGUCCCAAGGGUAUGGCUGUUCGCCAUUUAAAGUGGUACGCGAGCUGGGUUUAGAACGUCGUGAGACAGUUCGGUCCCUAUCUGCCGUGGGCGCUGGAGAACUGAGGGGGGCUGCUCCUAGUACGAGAGGACCGGAGUGGACGCAUCACUGGUGUUCGGGUUGUCAUGCCAAUGGCACUGCCCGGUAGCUAAAUGCGGAAGAGAUAAGUGCUGAAAGCAUCUAAGCACGAAACUUGCCCCGAGAUGAGUUCUCCCUGACUCCUUGAGAGUCCUGAAGGAACGUUGAAGACGACGACGUUGAUAGGCCGGGUGUGUAAGCGCAGCGAUGCGUUGAGCUAACCGGUACUAAUGAACCGUGAGGCUUAACCUU
rnacentral:rRNA from 1 species